AAUGAACGCUGGCGGCGCGCCUAAUACAUGCAAGUCGAGCGAGAAGACGUAGCAAUACGUUUGUAAAGCGGCGAACGGGUGAGGAAUACAUGGGUAACCUACCCUCGAGUGGGGAAGUAACUAGCCGAAGGUUAGCUAAUACCGCGUACGCUCCUUGGACUUCGGUUCAGGGAGGAAAGCGAUACCGUGGGUAUCGCGCUCUUGGUUGGGCUCAUGUCCUAUCAGCUUGUUGGGAGGUAACGGCUCACCAAGGCUUCGACGGGUAGCUGGUCUGAGAGGACGAUCAGCCACACUGGCACUGCGACACGGGCCAGACUCCUACGGGAGGCAGCAGUAAGGAAUAUUGCGCAAUGGGCGAAAGCCUGACGCAGCGACGCCGC
rnacentral:rRNA from 1 species